CGAUAAAUAUCAAAAUAUAUCUACAAUAUCCGACUACUGCACUAUAAAAAAUCGACACGUUACUGCCAAGUGGAUUUCACUUACAGUUUUUUACGCGCUAUAGAGUUCGCCAGGCGCGUUUGUAUUAGUGCGAUGUUUCAGGAUUGGUGACAUGUUUUUUUGUUAGCUGUAAGAAUUUUUUGUCACCUGUGAGAACUGUCAUCUAAAAGAGGAAACGAACAACAAACGAAACGAGUUUGAUACUACGCAAAACUAGGUAAACGAGUUCUUUAGACGGAUUAAUGAACUCGUUUUUUUAUUAUGUAAUUCCAGGAUUCCGUUGAAGCAAUCGCUCGCCAUCAGAAAAAAAAGGAUUUGUGCUACAGGAUCGAUCCAUAUAACCUCAUAACAAAGGAGACGGCAGCUCCGCUAACGACAACCUAAAGAUUGCACGAAAGCUAUGGAUACCAUUCUGUUCUUCAAAAACGAAUGGGUUAAGAGCCAUACAGGCAAAAAAAAUUGCGAAAUUCACGUAGUACAUGGGAAAGUGCAUCAUUCUUUUGCUCUUAACGAAAAACCGCUGGAGCCGUGGAUUAUCAUCAAGGAAAAUGGGACCAUUCAAGCGGCACACUGCACCUGUGCCAUUGGAUUGCUGGAGGCCUGUAGCCACAUUGGCGCUACAUUGUUUGCGCUAGAUGGAAUAAGAGCAGCUAUAAAUAAAAACAAGUUGUCGGUUACCGAUCUUCCAGCGUACUGGAAAAGGCCUCCAGCUUAAAUUAAAGAUAAUUUAUAUAAACCACUGGCUAAGAUAGACUUGGAAAAAAAAUUCCCGACAAUAUCAAACCCGAGUAUGCAGUCCAUUGGAAUUGGAAACUCGAGCCUGCGAUUUACUGAAUAGUUUCACAGUGGAAGGCAUGCAGGUUGCGGCGAUGGCGAUGUUCUGUCGAGAUCCUGAAUAUCGAUUUGAUUGCCCAUUAUGUGAAAAAGACGGCCAUAUUUUGGAGAAGGUGCCGGAAGUUACUUGACGAAAUUUGGAAAAAUAAAUCUAGAUAGGAACUGGAAGAUCAGGCAGAUGAUAUCUUUCAACAGUUGUCACGUGAUCGAGAUCUCAUUCAUCAGAUUGAACGGUAUACCUUAGGUCAAAAAGAGAGUAAAAAGUGGUUAAUGCUGCGCACUGGACGGAUCACAGCCUCUGUACUGAAACAAGUUUGCUGAACAUCUCCCAUUAUUCUCUCUCAUUAAUAAAAAAUUUGCUAUCCUGAGAAAAAUAGCGCAUCUACGCCUCCGCUCCGGUAUGGUACAAAGAAUGAAGAUCGAGCUGUGAAAAAAAUAUAUCAAGCUGUCGCGCAUCUUCAAUGUAAAUAUUUCAUGUAAAUAGCAAUCUGGCUUGUUCAUAUCAGCAGACGAUCCCUAUUUGGCUGCUGCUCCAGAUGCAAUUUUCAAGUGCGACUAUCAUGGACUAAUUACUGUGGAGGUAAAGUGCCCAUACUCGACCAGGCAUGCUGAUGGGUCAUUAAGGUUCUCCUCAACCUCACAGAUCUAUUCAUUAGACUGGAUGAUUG